rnacentral:lncRNA from 1 species
GGUAUUUAAUUAACACAUCUGUAUGAACCCAAUAUUAAGGUAAGAAGAACCCAAUUUUGUUAAACUUAUACUUUCCCAAAAAGGGUUGUCACAUUACAUAUAAAAACUCCAAAUUCUAAUCAAAACAAAAGUUGCACUACAUAUCAUAAAAAGAAAAGGUUACCCUACAUUGCCACCCUUUGUUUGUUUUUACAAAUAAAAUUGUGAUUUGUGAAGGUGUUUGUGUUAGAGGGAAAUUAUUAAUUAAGGAAAAAAAAUGGCAAAGAUAAUAUUUGUUUUGGUAUUUUCAAUUGUGCUUGCUAUGCCGUUCCGUAUAGUUUAUGGACAACAAGGUUUGCAAGAUCUUUUUGGAGGGGGAGAUUUGAGUCAAACUUUUGAUGAGGCUAAGAAGGCUCUUGGUGCUGCUACCGGUGGUGGUGGUGGUGGUGGCGCCUCUUUUAAUGAUUAUUUCGGUGGUAGU